AACGAACGCUGGCGGCAGGCCUAACACAUGCAAGUCGAGCGAGGACUUCGGUCCUAGCGGCGGACGGGUGAGUAACGCGUGGGAACGUGCCCUUUGCUUCGGAAUAGCCCUGGGAAACUGGGAGUAAUACCGGAUGAGCCCUUUGGGGGAAAGAUUUAUCGGCGAAGGAUCGGCCCGCGUUGGAUUAGGUGGUUGGUGGGGUAAUGGCCUACCAAGCCGACGAUCCAUAGCUGGUUUGAGAGGAUGAUCAGCCACACUGGGACUGAGACACGGCCCAGACUCCUACGGGAGGCAGCAGUGGGGAAUCUUAGACAAUGGGGGAAACCCUGAUCUAGCCAUGCCGCGUGAGCGAUGAAGGCCUUAGGGUUGUAAAGCUCUUUCAGCUGGGAAGAUAAUGACGGUACCAGCAGAAGAAGCCCCGGCUAACUCCGUG
rnacentral:rRNA from 1 species